rfam:TPA: Bos taurus chromosome 16, whole genome shotgun sequence.
UCCCUGGUGGCUCAGAUGGUAAAGAAUCUGUCUGCAAUGCAGGAGACCUGGGUUCCAUUCCUGGAUUGGGAA